UGGGGAAUUUUGGACAAUGGGGGCAACCCUGAUCCAGCCAUGCCGCGUGAGUGAAGAAGGCCUUCGGGUUGUAAAGCUCUUUCGGCCGGGAAGAAAUCGCAUAGGCUAAUACCCUGUGUGGAUGACGGUACCGGAAUAAGAAGCACCGGCUAACUACGUGCCAGCAGCCGCGGUACUACGUAGGGUGCGAGCGUUAAUCGGACUUACUGGGCGUAAAGCGUGCGCAGGCGGUUUAGUAAGACAGGCGUGAAAUCCCCGGGCUCAACCGGGGAACUGCGCUUGUGACGGCUAAGCUAGAGUACGGCAGAGGGGGGUGGAAUUCCACGUGUAGCAGUGAAAUGCGGAGAGAUGUGGAGGAACACCGAUGGCGAAGGCAGCCCCCUGGGCCGAUACUGACGCUCAUGCACGAAAGCGUGGGUAGCAAACA
rnacentral:rRNA from 1 species